GACGAACCGUGCAAACGUUAUUCGGAAUCACUGGGCUAAAAGGGCGCGUAGGCGGGCUCGCCAGUCAGGGGUGAAAGCCUCCAGCUCAACUGGAGAAGUGCCUUUGAUACUGCGAGUCUCGAGGGAGGUAGGGGCGUGCGGAACUUCCGGUGGAGCGGUGAAAUGCGUUGAUAUCAUCAGGAACACCGGUGGCGAAAGCGGCAUCCUGGACCGAGAUCGACGCUGAGGCGCGAAAGCUAGGGGAGCAAACGGG
rnacentral:rRNA from 1 species